rnacentral:rRNA from 1 species
UUUCUAUGGAAGCUUGCUUCCACUGAGUAAGAUAGUGGCGAACGGGUGAGUAACACGUGGGUAACCUGCCCAUAAGAGGGGGGAUAACGAUCCGGAAACGGGUGCUAAUACCGCAUAGUUUUCUUGAUCGCAUGAUCGGGAAGGAAAGACGGCCUUUGUGCUGUCGCUUAUGGAUGGACCCGCGGCGUAUUAGUUAGUUGGUGAGGUAACGGCUCACCAAGACGAUGAUACGUAGCCGACCUGAGAGGGUGAUCGGCCACAUUGGGACUGAGACACGGGCCCAAACUCCUACGGGAGGCAGCAGUAGGGAAUCUUCCGCAAUGGACGAAAGUCUGACGGAGCAACGCCGCGUGAGUGAAGAAAGGUUUUCGGAUCGUAAAACUCUGUUGUCAGAGAAGAACAAGUUGGAGAGUAACUGCUCCAGCCUUGACGGUAUCUGACCAGAAAGCCACGGCUAACUACGUGCCAGCAGCCGC